AGAGUUUGAUCCUGGCUCAGAGCGAACGCCGGCGGCAUGCUUAACACAUGCAAGUCGCACGGUAUGGGGGCAACUCCAUGCAGUGGCGGACGGGUGAGUAACGCGUAGGAAUCUAUCCUUGGAUGGGGGACAACCGUGGGAAACUACGGCUAAUACCGCAUGAUGCCUGAGGGCCAAAGCUCGCGAGAGCGUCUGGGGAGGAGCCUGCGUCUGAUUAGGUAGUUGGUGGGGUAAAGGCCUACCAAGCCUGCGAUCAGUAGCUGGUCUGAGAGGAUGAUCAGCCACAUUGGGACUGAGACACGGCCCAAACUCCUACGGGAGGCAGCAGUGGGGAAUAUUGGACAAUGGGGGCAACCCUGAUCCAGCAAUGCCGCGUGGGUGAAGAAGGUUUUCGGAUUGUAAAGCCCUUUUGGCGGGGACGAUGAUGACGGUACCCGCAGAAUAAGCUCCGGCUAACUUCGUGCCAGCAGCCGCGGUAAUACGAAGGGGGCUAGCGUUGCUCGGAAUGACUGGGCGUAAAGGGCGCGUAGGCGGCUUGCAUAGUUAGGCGUGAAAUUCCUGGGCUCAACCUGGGGACUGCGUCUAAUACAUGCAGGCUUGAGUGUGAAAGAGGGUCGUGGAAUUUCCAGUGUAGAGGUGAAAUUCGUAGAUAUUGGAAAGAACACCGGUGGCGAAGGCGGCGACCUGGUUCAUUACUGACGCUGAGGCGCGAAAGCGUGGGGAGCAAACAGGAUUAGAUACCCUGGUAGUCC
rnacentral:rRNA from 1 species